rnacentral:rRNA from 1 species
GAUGAACGCUGGCGGCGUGCCUAAUACAUGCAAGUAGAACGCUGAAGCUUGGUGCUUGCACCGAGCAGAUGAGUUGCGAACGGGUGAGUAACGCGUAGGUAACCUGCCUCUUAGCGGGGGAUAACUAUUGGAAACGAUAGCUAAUACCGCAUAAAAGUCGAUAUCGCAUGAUAUUGAUUUGAAAGGUGCAAUUGCAUCACUAAGAGAUGGACCUGCGUUGUAUUAGCUAGUUGGUGAGGUAACGGCUCACCAAGGCGACGAUACAUAGCCGACCUGAGAGGGUGAUCGGCCACACUGGGACUGAGACACGGCCCAGACUCCUACGGGAGGCAGCAGUAGGGAAUCUUCGGCAAUGGGGGCAACCCUGACCGAGCAACGCCGCGUGAGUGAAGAAGGUUUUCGGAUCGUAAAGCUCUGUUGUAAGAGAAGAACGAGUGUGAGAGUGGAAAGU